UUCUUUGCCAAAGCCAGGAAUGAGGGUCGAGGAGCCGCUUGGUCCUAAAGAGAGUAGGACACAGUUCGGUGGAAAAUGAUCGCAAUACAUGUGUUUAUUAUUUUGAUUUCUUUCAAAUAAAAUACACGAUUGGCAUAUCUAUUAAAACCGAUUUCCAUACUACAGAGGUCCACGGCUUUUCAAAAUCAAUAUUAUGCUAAUUAAGUUUAAAAUAAGUUUAAAAAAAAAUAAUAAUAAUAAUAGGCUACAUUUCCUCUUAACUGACUACUAAAUUAUAUUAAAUAUCUCCGUGACAAUGAUAUUUCUGUUAUGUUAUUUCACAUUUUUACUGCAUUGCAUACCUUUUUGUUACAUUUGUUCUAUAGACUGGCCGCAACGUGUAUGAUUUGGUCAGAUCCAUUAAUCCAUUUAUCCGCAUUAACGCCUCGUUAUAAAUCAUGAAACUGCAUAUCAUUUAUCAAGUCAAUAAUGGACUGACAAAUACAUUUAAAACAGAGACAGUCCACGAGGGAACAAGCAAUGUACGCGAGAGUCUAUUGAUGUAAGUUCGCACUGUAAUCAAGAUAUGUCAAAGAUAGGCUAUAUAUGCGAAACACUACUUUGUUAGCAGAGAAAAAAAAAAAUACUAAAUGAAUUAAUAGUCAACAAGAGUCAGAAUUUAUGCAAGCUAUAUUUCUGUGAAUAUUAAAUUUGCUUAAUAUGAUCUGAAUAUGAAUAGCCUACCUUAUAUAUUUACAUUAGGUUUAUUUUUAUAUAGGCUAAAAUCCAUUAAUUAUAGUCCAAAAGACAUAUUAGAUUGGCGUAAUACUUAGGCUAGGCUAUUAUUUUUAUGUCUUAUAUGUAAGUCGACUGACUUUACGUGUAUAGUUCCCAAAUCCAAAAAAGAUAGUUGAUGAUUAUUGCCAUUUAUACAGUUAUCUACACAAUUUACAGUACGGAAACUAGCACCAGUUGCCACAUAGCCUAUGCAGCUUUCGUUCUCGUCAUGACUAUACUAGCAAUAAAGUAGCCUAGUGAAUAUUAGUCGUAACUAAUCAUUGUAAUAGAAUGAUUUAGAUGUAUAUCGCAAGCCAAACGGCUCUCAAUACAAUAGGCUGUUAUUUAUGCAGAGAUGCAGCAUUCAAUGUGUUCUCAUACAACAAAAGAGAAUUUUAGGAUGUGCUUUUAGGGCCUUGACAUACUACAGAUAUCUUACUCAGUGAAGUUAUAAAACAUCCCACAGCUUCCUCAAAUUGAUUAUUGGGUUAAUAAAACACACACACAAAACAUUCAAAAAAUCAUGCAAAUAUAAAAUGAAAGGUGCUCAUUGAGAAAGCAGAAGCCCAGAAGUCUUAUGUUAAUUGCCAUAGAUGUUCGCUGGGAGCCUCGGGGUGGUCAAAUGAGGUGUCUCCCUUUUCGCUCCUCGGGUUAUAAGUCAGAGCACUUUUUUUUAGAGCUCGCUUGCUGAAGUCUACUUUCUCUAUCAUCAGGGGUUGUCGGAGUUGGGUCCACUGAAAAACGUACAGUGCUAAAUCACUGCAUAUGCUGCCUCGGAGGACAAAAUGCUGAAGACUGGACGUACAACAGUAUAUGGGCGCCCCCUAGCGUUUGGAUUAUUUCUGCCUGAAUUCGCUCUUUAAGGUGGAAGAGCCAUCUUAAAUGGAAACUACAUCGGUCGCUCGCCUCUCACAUACACCAGAGUAACAUGCGCCUAUUUUAAUCUGAUUAAUGCUUUUGAGAUUUCCUUCUAAUUGACUUGGACGUUGCAGAGGUGCGUUUGAAAGUCUCUACCACACAUUUUCUCCACAGUGUUGUUCACGCACGGGAGUAUUGCCGCGUUUCGGUUAAUUUUGGCCAGUUUAUUGAAACGAUCAAAAGUGAGCACCGUGCCUCAUCUCCGACCAUUCUAUGUGAACAAGACAGCCGAAAGCAAUAACCGCAGAAGUAAAUUAUAGCGUACCGAUGCAAAGUGGAUUUUACCCCAAGAUCAAGGUAGAGUACGACGUUCUGGCAGACUAGCUGUGCAUUGUCUCAGGCCUCUGCAGGACUGUGACGAGGGCAGAGGACACGGCCACUCUGGGAACCGAAGAAUGCAGAGUGGUGACAUCAACACCAAAUGCAUGAUGGGAGGAGGAACUUCACGCAAAGAUCCCACAAUGACAAAGCAGGGAAGGUAGGCCUUAAUGUAUGCUUUUGAGCUACUGGAGCAACUAACCUAUAUUCUUUUACAGGCAAAGGGGUCACUGGUCAGCUGACAACGAACUGCUUGAAAUCAACUAUGUAUGUAUUGUAAAUAACGCAACUGAACAAGAAGCAGUACUGUAUGAUGCAAUGAAAGAAAAUAUUUUCUUGAUGAUAUUAAUAGAAAUGUUUAAUUAUCAACUGUACAAUAUUUUCUGCCAAAAGCUCAAGCAAAUAAACAUGGGUCCCGUA